rnacentral:rRNA from 1 species
UCAGGAUGAACGCUGGCGGCGUGCCUAACACAUGCAAGUCGAACGGAGUGUCGGGAGCUUGCUUUGACACUUAGUGGCGGACGGGUGAGUAAUGCGUGAGCAACCUGCCUUCAGAGGGGGACAACAGUUGGAAACGACUGCUAAUACCGCAUAAUGUAUUUGGGCGGCAUCGCCCGGAUACCAAAGGAGCAAUCCGCUGAAAGAUGGGCUCACGUCUGAUUAGCUUGUUGGUGAGGUAACGGCUCACCAAGGCUGCGAUCAGUAGCCGGACUGAGAGGUUGAACGGCCACAUUGGGACUGAGACACGGCCCAAACUCCUACGGGAGGCAGCAGUGGGGAAUAUUGCACAAUGGGCGAAAGCCUGAUGCCAGCGACGCCGCGUGAACGAAGAAGUAUUUCGGUAUGUAAAGUUCUAUCAGCAGGGAAGAAAAAUGACGGUACCUGACUAAGAAGCUCCGGCUAAAUACGUGCCAGCCGCUGC